AUUGAACGCUGGCGGCAGGCCUAACACAUGCAAGUCGAGCGGAGGAAGGGAGCUUGCUCCUGGAUUCAGCGGCGGACGGGUGAGUAAUGCCUAGGAAUCUGCCUGGUAGUGGGGGAUAACGUCCGGAAACGGGCGCUAAUACCGCAUACGUCCUGAGGGAGAAAGUGGGGGAUCUUCGGACCUCACGCUAUCAGAUGAGCCUAGGUCGGAUUAGCUAGUUGGUGGGGUAAAGGCCUACCAAGGCGACGAUCCGUAACUGGUCUGAGAGGAUGAUCAGUCACACUGGAACUGAGACACGGUCCAGACUCCUACGGGAGGCAGCAGUGGGGAAUAUUGGACAAUGGGCGAAAGCCUGAUCCAGCCAUGCCGCGUGUGUGAAGAAGGUCUUCGGAUUGUAAAGCACUUUUAGUUGGGAGGAAGGGCAGUAAGUUAAUACCUUGCUGUUUUGACGUUACCAACAGAAUAAGCACCGGCUAACUUCGUG
rnacentral:rRNA from 1 species